UCAAAAUCUUGAGUUCUUCAUCUCAAAUUCGAAAUCCAAUUCUUCUCUCAUGUCCGAUUCAAACCUCCAAGCGAAUAUGAAGAGUAACCCUCGAAUCGAACCUAAUCUCAUUCACUGUGCGUGUCCCCUUUAUCCUUGCUCAAAUCCGUUCCCAAUUUCGUUAAACCUAGUCUCAGGUCAGAUCUGCUUCUUCACUUCAUCUUUCAUCCGGAAAAAGAGACAAUCCAAACAAAAUGAAAAACAGUGAAAAUGGCAGCUCAAUGUUUUUGAAGCUACAUGCUCAAUCUGAUUGGAAGAAAAAGGUCUAUCUUUUGAUUCUUGUGUUCCUCUUUUGAAUAUUCAAGGGUAACAAGAAAAGCAAAUAUGUUGUACAAUGGGCACUUAACAAGUUUGUUCCAGAGUUAUCGACAUAUUUGUUGGCAUUUGUGUAUCUGCCUGCUUUUCUGCAGUCUGAUCAGAGUUAGUGAAAGGUGGUUUCACCUGCAACCUUUACUACUAUAGGGCCUUGAAGAAGUUAAUAGGUGCUGCUGGUGUGGUUUUCGAUUUUCUGCUAAUUUUCGCAGGCCAAUGUUAGUCUUCUGCUGCCUUGCGGUUGGUUUACUCGGUGUUCCAAUUAUGUUUGGUUUUGGAAGGGUUGGGGGCUGUUUAGUUCGGCAUUCUAUCUAAGUUUGGGGAAAUCUGCUGUUGGCAGCAGUGCUGGGUUUCUGUCCUGGCAGCAGAUAGGGAGUUUGCAUGUUACAGGGACUCCUUGUGAUAGGGAUUUUGAUGCAGAGGUAUGCUUUCGGUUUUCUAUUGUCCGUUGGUAUACUUCGGCCUCAUUAUUUAGAAUCGUUUUGGGAGCUUGGGUUGUUGGUGUUCCGUAUAUUUGCGGCGCCAUUUGUAUCUGUUUCUUUGUUUUUUCCGUGAGUGUUUUGCGUCUUGCAAUUCUCGUCGAGAAUAAAAUUGUCGUUUAAAAAAAAUGCGACAAAAUGUAAAUAUUCUAUUUUAGUUCGACUGUCAUGUGCGUUGUGCGAAUUAUGUAUGUGAUAUUUUUGUCUUUAGACUGAAAUUAGAACUCAAAAUUGAAAAACAAAUGACUUUUUAGCAUCAA